rnacentral:rRNA from 1 species
CCUACGGGGGGCAGCAGUGGGGAAUAUUGCUCAAUGGGGGAAACCCUGAUGCAGCGACGCCGCGUGAACGAGGAAGGAUUUCGGUAUGUAAAGCUCUAUCGGCAGGGAAGAAAAAAGAGGGUUCCUGACUAUGAAGCCCCGGCUAACUACGUGCCAGCAGCCGCGGUAAUACGGAGGGGCCAAGCGUUAUCCGGAUUUACUGGGUGUAAAGGGAGCGUAGACGGGAAGGAAAGCCAGAUGUGAAUGGGUAGGGCUCAACCCUGGAAAUGCAUUUGAAAAUGUGAUUCUAGAGUGCAGUAGAGGUAGGUGGAAUUCCUGGUGUAGCGGUGAAAUGCGUAGAUAUUAGGAGGAACACCAGUUGCGAAGGCGGCUUACUGGACUGUAACUGACGUUGAGGCUCGAAAGCGUGGGGAGCAAACAGGAUUAGAUACCCCUGUAGUC